rnacentral:lncRNA from 1 species
UGCGCCCGCCGGCGGCUAGGGCUGCUGCCGCCACUCCUGCAGUGCCCCCACUGGGGGCGCCAGCCUCGCCCCCGAUGGCUCGGCCAGGCGCGAGCCUGCAGGCUCCAAAGCUUGCAGAAAUGGCUGUGGUUCAAAGCUCAGGAGAGCAGACUCCAUAGAGGAAAGCGGGCCCACAAUGGGAGAAGAGGCGCUUUCUGCGGUGCAUGUCUAGCCUCCUGGCUGGAGACAUAGGUCAUCUUCAAAGGCUGCAUGCAACUGUACUGAGGCCCACAUGAAAACAGAAACAGCAAUAACAAAACAACAGCAACACCAACAACAAAAACCUGCAGAUUCGAAGAACCAAACAUUAUGCCAGAAAAGACCUUUUUCCCCCCAAAAUAACACCCAUAAAUUUGGGUUUUUAGAUCAUAGACAUAACUUGUUGAGUACCACCAUUAAUUUCAGAACAGUUUACACAGCUUUAGGAAUUUCUUUAAAAAUAUAGAAACAAAAUCCUGGGACUUAGAGUUAGGGGUUGUAUUCAGGAUUCUGAUGGAACAGCCAGCUAUUCAAAGGCUCGAGCUUAUCCUAGGAUUUAUGUAACUGAAGACAUAUCCACAAUGGCCUUUCUGAAACACAAGCCAGAAUCCCUCCCAUCCCAGUGUAAAAAGCCCUGAGUACUGGGUCUUUCUUUGCCCCUCCCUGACAUUCCACUUGGGCUCUUUACUUCUUUGAGUCCACAAACUCAUCUCUUGCUUCUUGUACUCUGCACUCACCCCUCUCUCCAUUUCUAGUGUUCUUCCUUGCCCUCCUUCAUUGAAAUCUUAUAUAUUUCUGGUAACUGCUUCUCCUUGAACCUGGGCUGCAUUUGAUGGACUCUCAUUCAUUCAGAGUGUGACUGUGAUUGCCUGGGUACUUUCUUGUCUCCAUCUAGAUUGUGAGUUGAUUGAUAGCUGGAUCUCAGACCUCUCUCUCCAAGUGCAGACUGGACCUAACACAUACUAGGAAUUCAAUAUAUAUUUACUGCUAAAUGAGAACAAGUGGUCCUAACUUUCACAUGUCAUUUCUCUGCACUUUUGGGGUCACUACCAAAUUUCUUAGUAUGUUAAUUGCAAUGAAAAUUCUGUUGAAAGACAAAAAGCCCAUGGUGAUUCCAACUGCACUAUAUUAAAAACAUUUUUCCUCCUUAAAAAUGGGUGUUAUAUCUAUCUCAUUUGGAUGAAAUGUCUGUAAAACACAUUUUCAGAUUUCAUCUCACAUGUCAGUCAAACAAGUUAGGCCAGGGCACACAUUAAUAUCUUCAUUUUGUAGCUGACAACACAGACCUAGUUAGAUCAACUGACUUGCCCAAAGUCACCCUUGCAAAUGCUCAGAGGUAAAGCAAACACCAUCUGACUCAAAACCAACAGAAUCUGGACUACUCCAGUUUAGAUCUCAAAUUGUCUAUUGCAAAUCUACUUAGGAGUAUGAGGCUAAGGGGUCAGCUGAUCUGGGCUGAGCAUGGAAUAUGCAGUAGCAGAGACCUAACAACUUAAAGUAGAACUGAUGCUCCUGUACCUAACUGACACACCACCUUUCCUUCUGAAAGAGCCCAAGUGACAAGAAUAAAGCAAAUCACC